AACGAACGCUGGCGGCAUGCCUAACACAUGCAAGUCGAACGAGACCUUCGGGUCUAGUGGCGCACGGGUGCGUAACGCGUGGGAACCUGCCCUUAGGUUCGGAAUAACUCCCCGAAAGGGGUGCUAAUACCGGAUAAUGUCUUCGGACCAAAGAUUUAUCGCCUUUGGAUGGGCCCGCGUUGGAUUAGCUAGUUGGUAGGGUAAAAGCCUACCAAGGCGACGAUCCAUAGCUGGUCUGAGAGGAUGAUCAGCCACACUGGGACUGAGACACGGCCCAGACUCCUACGGGAGGCAGCAGUGGGGAAUAUUGGACACUGGGCGAAAGCCUGAUCCAGCCAUGCCGCGUGAGUGAUGAAGGCCUUAGGGUUGUAAAGCUCUUUUACCCGGGAUGAUAAUGACAGUACCGGGAGAAUAAGCUCCGGCUAACUCCGUG
rnacentral:rRNA from 1 species